rnacentral:lncRNA from 1 species
ACUAGAACAUGAACCUAGGAAUUAGCAUGAGUCAAGCAUCCUUGACUAUCCUGUCCUGAAUCUAAUCUGUCAUGCUAGGACUACUAGAGAGAUGCUAACCGCUGAUCUAGGAGACUAGUGAGCAUUAUCAACCUGCGCCUAGGGCUUAGCUAGAAGCAUCGAUCGAUAUUGUCUUCUGACAAUCGAUCGAUAUUGCGAAAGAUGUAUCGAUCGAUAUCCCUAUAGGAUCAUCGAUCGACACUUUC